AUUGAACGCUGGCGGCAUGCCUUACACAUGCAAGUCGAACGGUAACAGGUCUUCGGAUGCUGACGAGUGGCGAACGGGUGAGUAAUGCAUCGGAACGUGCCCAGUUGUGGGGGAUAACUGCUCGAAAGAGCAGCUAAUACCGCAUACGACCUGAGGGUGAAAGCGGGGGAUCGCAAGACCUCGCGCAAUUGGAGCGGCCGAUGUCAGAUUAGGUAGUUGGUGGGGUAAAGGCCUACCAAGCCGACGAUCUGUAGUUGGUCUGAGAGGACGACCAGCCACACUGGGACUGAGACACGGCCCAGACUCCUACGGGAGGCAGCAGUGGGGAAUUUUGGACAAUGGGCGCAAGCCUGAUCCAGCAAUGCCGCGUGCAGGAAGAAGGCCUUCGGGUUGUAAACUGCUUUUGUCAGGGAAGAAAUCCUCUGGGUUAAUACCCCGGGGGGAUGACGGUACCUGAAGAAUAAGCACCGGCUAACUACGUGCCAGCCGCCGCCGUAACAC
rnacentral:rRNA from 1 species